GACGAACGCUGGCGGCGUGCUUAACACAUGCAAGUCGAACGGAAAGGCCCUGCUUUUGUGGGGUGCUCGAGUGGCGAACGGGUGAGUAACACGUGAGUAACCUGCCCUUGACUUUGGGAUAACUUCAGGAAACUGGGGCUAAUACCGGAUAGGAGCUCCUGCUGCAUGGUGGGGGUUGGAAAGUUUCGGCGGUUGGGGAAGGACUCGCGGCUUAUCAGCUUGUUGGUGGGGUAGUGGCUUACCAAGGCUUUGACGGGUAGCCGGCCUGAGAGGGUGACCGGCCACAUUGGGACUGAGAUACGGCCCAGACUCCUACGGGAGGCAGCAGUGGGGAGUAUUGCACAAUGGGCGGAAGCCUGAUGCAGCGACGCCGCGUGCGGGAUGACGGCCUUCGGGUUGUGAACCACUUUCGCCUGUGACGAAGCGUGAGUGACGGUAAUGUGUAAAGAAGCACCGGCUAACUACGUG
rnacentral:rRNA from 1 species